rnacentral:rRNA from 1 species
GACGAACGCUGGCGGCGUGCUUAACACAUGCAAGUCGAACGCAGUGGCGAACGGGUGAGUAACGCGUAAUCAACCUGCCCUUCAGAGGGGGACAACAGUUGGAAACGACUGCUAAUACCGCAUACUGAAGGAGGGGCUUGCGUCUGAUUAGCUAGUUGGCGGGGUACAGGCCCACCAAGGCGAUGAUCAGUAGCCGGUCUGAGAGGAGGAACGGCCACAUUGGGACUGAGACACGGCCCAGACCCCUACGGGAGGCAGCAGUGGGGAAUCUUCCGAAAUGGACGAAAGUCUGACGGAGCAACGCCGCGGGAGGGAUGACGGCCUUCGGGUUGUAAAGCUCUGUUAAUCGGGACGCGGUACCGGAAUAGAAAGCCACGGCUAACUACGUGCCAGCAGCCGCGGUAAUAC